rnacentral:antisense_RNA from 1 species
CUUCACCGACCCCAGCCACAACGGCCGCUCACGGUCGCGUCCGUAGGUGGCGAGCAGGGCCUGCGCCUC